rnacentral:rRNA from 1 species
GACGAACGCUGGCGGCGUGCCUAAUACAUGCAAGUCGAACGCACAGUUUAUACCGUAGCUUGCUACACCAUAGACUGUGAGUUGCGAACGGGUGAGUAACGCGUAGGUAACCUGCCUGGUAGCGGGGGAUAACUAUUGGAAACGAUAGCUAAUACCGCAUAAUAUUAAUUAUUGCAUGAUAAUUAAUUGAAAGGUGCAAUUGCACCACUACCAGAUGGACCUGCGUUGUAUUAGCUAGUAGGUGAGGUAACGGCUCACCUAGGCGAAGAUACAUAGCCGACCUGAGAGGGUGAUCGGCCACACUGGGACUUAGACACGGCCCAGACUCCUACGGGAGGCAGCAGUAGGGAAUCUUCGGCAAUGGACGAAAGGCUGACCGAGCAACGCCGCGUGAGUGAAGAAGGGUUUCGGAUCGGAAAGCUCCGUUGUAAGAGAAGAACGGGUGUGGGAGUGGAAAGUUCACGCUGUGACGGUAUCUUACCAGAAAGGGACGGCUAACUACGUG